UACGUAGGGGGCAAGCGUUGUCCGGAAUCAUUGGGCGUAAAGAGCGUGUAGGCGGCUCGGUAAGUCCGCUCUGAAAGCCCGGGGCUCAACCCCGGGAGGCGGGCGGAUACUGUCGGGCUAGAGUCCGGAAGAGGCGAGUGGAAUUCCUGGUGUAGCGGUGAAAUGCGCAGAUAUCAGGAGGAACACCAAUGGCGAAGGCAGCUCGCUGGGACGGUACUGGACGCUGAGACGCGAAAGCGUGGGGAGCAAACAGG
rnacentral:rRNA from 1 species